rnacentral:rRNA from 1 species
UCCUACGGGGCGCAGCAGUGGGGAAUAUUGGGCAAUGGGCGCAAGCCUGACCCAGCAACGCCGCGUGAAGGAAGAAGGCUUUCGGGUUGUAAACUUCUUUUCUCAGGGACGAAGCAAGUGACGGUACCUGAGGAAUAGGCCACGGCUAACUACGUGCCAGCAGCCGCGGUAAUACGUAGGGGGCAAGCGUUAUCCGGAUUUACUGGGUGUAAAGGGAGCGUAGACGGCCAGACAAGUCAGAAGUGAAAUCCGGGGGCUCAACCCCCGAACUGCAUUUGAAACUGUUGGUCUUGAGUAUCGGAGAG